rnacentral:rRNA from 1 species
AUACGGAGGGUCCAAGCGUUAUCCGGAUUUAUUGGGUUUAAAGGGUGCGUAGGCGGCCGAUUAAGUUAGAGGUGAAAUCCCGUGGCUCAACCACGGAACUGCCUCUGAUACUGGUUGGCUAGAAAAUGGUUGCUGUGGGCGGAAUGUGUAGUGUAGCGGUGAAAUGCUUAGAGAUUAUACAGAACACCGAUUGCGAAGGCAGCUCACAAAACCAAUGUGGACGCUGAGGCCCGAAAGCGUGGGGAGCAAACAGGAUUAGAUACCCUGGUAGUCCACGCCGUAAACGAUGAUAACUCGCUGCUGGCGAUACAAUGUCAGUGGCUUAGCGAAAGCGUUAAGUUAUCCACCUGGGGAGUACGUUCGCAAGAAUGAAACUCAAAUGAAUUGACGGGG